GACAUCUGCAGAUUUUGGUCUGGCUUGGGUAACCACGAAAUCUGCUGAUUCUGGUUACAACAGGCUUGCACAAAGGGCUGUUGCUAGACCCACACUUUGGUUGAAAGCCAAGAACCCUCAGACCUUAUUUCUGACCACAGAUCAGAUUUGACUGGGGUAUAAAUGGAGUCCUGCCAGAGGGCAAGAGUUGAGUUGGUCCUCUUCAGAGCAGCGCAGCUGCUGUAGAGGGCUCUCCCUUCUGGUCAGGACACUGCCUGAGGUAACUCCUCAAGGUUGAGAGCCCUCAUUUUGACUGGUGAGUGAAAUGUUUUUUGGGUUAAUUCCCUUUAAAACCUAAGCUUAAAUCAGUUGUAUUUGAUUCUGCUUGGCAUCUAGAACCUGUAGUUUACUAAUGUUGUUGGAGUAUUAAAUUAUAUUUUUAUUAGAAUAAAUUUCCUUUGGGGCUUGUAACCUACCUUAGUCAAUUUUGUGGGCCUCUGUGACUAAUAGCAUGCUAAAUUUUGAAAUCUUGACUAUGUGACAUAAAGGAUUGAUUGUGCGCAUAUAUAUAUAUAUUCCUUUAUAUACCGACAGUUGACCAAGUCUGGGACUAGGAGUGGAUCCAGCUGCCCCUAACCACUUCUUUGAGAAGGUGCUUAGAAAGCAAGGAGUUCUCCCUGAACUUCAUGACUUAAUAGGAGGAUCUCCCUCACAGUUGGGUGAAGUUCUGGACUCCUCCAUGGCAAAGUUCAACGUUAAGUGGAAGAUGGCACAUUGGAUGUGCAGCCCCGGGGACAAACUCCUCAGCAGGAGAGGCCUUGGAAGACUGGUGAGGAAUCAAGGACAUGGCUCGGUGCGCAUGACCUAGUCUCAGUUGACAAAGCGAACUUCCUGCCCCAGAUGAUAAUCAUCAGUUCACAAUGACCCCAGUUUCUAAUUACAGCAACAUUGAAUCGUUUGAUGUGCAACCAUGUGAGCAUGAUAAUAAAUAAUGCGCUGUCAAAAAGAAAAGA